rnacentral:pre_miRNA from 1 species
AGCCUUCUGUAUCCGUGCUUAGAUUUCGUCACACACCAGACCACAAGGGUUGAUGAGACUCCCUAUUAUUAGUUCG